rnacentral:rRNA from 1 species
CACGUAGGGGACGAGCGUUGUCCGGAUUCAUUGGGCGUAAAGCGCGCGUAGGCGGCCCUGGUAAGUCUGCGGUGAAAGCCCGGGGCUCAACCCCGGGUCGGCCGCGGGUACUGCCGGGCUGGAGUGCCGUAGGGGCAGGCGGAAUUCCGGGUGUAGCGGUGGAAUGCGUAGAGAUCCGGAAGAACACCGGUGGCGAAGGCGGCCUGCUGGGCGGCGACUGACGCUGAGGCGCGACAGCGUGGGGAGCAAACAGG